CAGUGAGCUAUGAUUGCGCCGCCACACUCCAUUCUGGGUCACAGAGUGGAUCCUGCCUCAAAAAGAAAAAGAAAAGGAAAACAUUCGGCUCAGUGAAAGAAGCCAGACACAACAGGCCACACACUAGGUGAUUUCACUCAUAGGAAAUGUCCAGAAUAAGCAAAUACAUAGACAGAAAAUAGAUGAGUGGUUUCCUGGGUCUUGGGGAAUGGGAAGAUUGGGGUGAUAAAAAUGUGCUAAAAUUGUUUGUGGUGAUGGUUGAACAACUGUGAAUAUACGAGAAGCCGUUGAAUUGUACAUUGUAAGUGGGUGACUUGUUGGUAUGUGGAUUAUAUCUUUAUAAGGCUGUUAAACCCAAUGGGGGGAAGUGCAGGCGGUCCUGAUGAAUUCCCACUACCAAGGUUGUCUGUUGUCCUGCCCACCAGUCAUAGACAAAGGUGUCCAUUUUCUCUUGUCCUCACCAGUCCUGAUGUCAGUCAACCUUUUGUCAAUCUGGC
rnacentral:lncRNA from 1 species